ACGUACACUCCUGCGGGAGGCAGCAGUGGGGAAUAUUGGACAAUGGGCGCAAGCCUGAUCCAGCCAUGCCGCGUGAGUGAUGAAGGCCCUAGGGUUGUAAAGCUCUUUCACCGGUGAAGAUAAUGACGGUAACCGGAGAAGAAGCCACGGCUAACUUCGUGCCAGCAGCCGCGGUAAUACGAAGGGGGCUAGCGUUGUUCGGAUUUACUGGGCGUAAAGCGCACGUAGGCGGACUAUUAAGUCAGGGGUGAAAUCCCGGGGCUCAACCCCGGAACUGCCUUUGAUACUGGUAGUCUUGAGUUCGAGAGAGGUGAGUGGAAUUCCGAGUGUAGAGGUGAAAUUCGUAGAUAUUCGGAGGAACACCAGUGGCGAAGGCGGCUCACUGGCUCGAUACUGACGCUGAGGUGCGAAAGCGUGGGGAGCAAACAGGAUUAGAUACCCUAGUAGUCCC
rnacentral:rRNA from 1 species